UACGAGGGGGGCAAGCGUUGUUCGGAAUUAUUGGGCGUAAAGGGCGCGUAGGCGGUGCGGUAAGUCUGAUGUGAAAUCUCCGGGCUCAACUCGGAGUCUGCAUCAGAAACUGCCGUGCUCGAGUGUGGGAGAGGUGAGUGGAAUUCCCGGUGUAGCGGUGAAAUGCGUAGAUAUCAGGAGGAACACCAAUGGCGAAGGCAGCUCGCUGGGACGGUACUGACACUGAGACGCGAAAGCGUGGGGAGCAAACAGG
rnacentral:rRNA from 1 species